ACGAACGCUGGCGGCAGGCUUAACACAUGCAAGUCGAGCGCGCGCUUUCGGGCGUGAGCGGCGGACGGGUGAGUAACGCGUGGGAACGUGCCCUUCUCUCUGGAAUAGCCCUGGGAAACCGGGAGUAAUGCCGGAUACGCCCUUUGGCAGCGAUGCCUGAGGGGAAAGAUUUAUCGGGGAAGGAUCGGCCCGCGUCGGAUUAGGUAGUUGGUGGGGUAACGGCCCACCAAGCCGACGAUCCGUAGCUGGUUUGAGAGGAUGAUCAGCCACACUGGGACUGAGACACGGCCCAGACUCCUACGGGAGGCAGCAGUGGGGAAUCUUGGACAAUGGGGGCAACCCUGAUCCAGCCAUGCCGCGUGAGCGAUGAAGGCCUUAGGGUUGUAAAGCUCUUUCAGCGGGGAAGAUAAUGACGGUACCCGCAGAAGAAGCCCCGGCUAACUCCGU
rnacentral:rRNA from 1 species